rnacentral:lncRNA from 1 species
AGAAAGUCCCUUUACUGUUUUGGUGAAAUGGAGGCAGGAAGGGUGCGUCAGGCCUCGGGACAACGCGCCUUAGGCGGCGUGCGUGCGAAACAGGAGAGGUGCGGCGCUAGAAGCUAGGGUUUUUUUUUUUGACAAUAGUUUCGGUCGUUGGGCCUUAGGGUUUGUGUCAUUUGGGCUUGUAUUGGGCCACAUUUGUUUAAGACGAACUUUAGACUGUUGAUUUUAUAUUUUAUUUU